UGGCUCAGUGGUAGAGCGCUUGCCUUGCAUGCCUGAGGCCCUGGGUUCAAUUCCCCAG
rfam:Dipodomys ordii contig_33799, whole genome shotgun sequence.